AUCGACAGACUCUCACUCCCACCUCUCCUUUAUAUCCACCUCCUCGCCCGGUCCUGCGUCCUUUGGGAAGAGAGAGAGAAGAGGAAGGAAGACCCAUCCGUCCCCUGCCUCCCUCCUCCCUUCCCUACCGCCGAUUCCGCCGCCGCCCUCCUCCACCUCUUCCUCCGCCGCCACCGCCGCCACCGCCACCGCCUCCGCGACCGCCUCCUGGUCCUCUACCCCUCCGGCGGAUCUCGCCGCCCACUGCUCAUUGCCAGGAAGGAAGAGGGCCGCGUCCCCGUUCGCAGGAACAGGAGGCGGGCGGCGAUGGGUUUCCCGCCGGACACGAGCAAGACGGUCAAGAUGGAAAGGUACAACAGCUAUCUCCGGCGGGUCAACAGCACCAAGCUGCUGGCAGCAUCGUCGAAGCUCAUCUUCCGCAGCACCCUCCUCGCGGCCCUCAUCCUCGUCCUCUUCCUCACCAUCAACUACCCCCCGCUGUCCUCCUCCCACUCCUCCUCCGC
rnacentral:lncRNA from 1 species